GCGGCUGUAGCUCAAUGGAUAGAGUAUUGGCCUCCGAAGCCAAGGGUUGUGGGUUCGAUCCCCGCCAGCCGCACCA
rnacentral:tRNA from 21 species